CUCAGGUCUUCUAGGGAACCUUUCUUUCCACUGUUUACCGCUCUCGGUUAAAUAAACACGGUGUUCAGAUAUUCUGGUUUUAUAACAAGACAGAGAGAGAGCCUGUUUACGUCGACUAAUAACUUCUUUAGGCUUCUGCCUCAGGUAACUCUGAACGUUGAUGAAACUGGGGAGGAGAGGAGACUGUAAAGUCCUACAGAGUAUUUAAGAAAUUCAAGCCAAGUGUUAUUAAGUUAAAAAGGCAAAAGUAACUU